UUGAACUUAUGGAACUAAUUGAAGCCUUUGAAAAGCCCAGGCCCGUUUGUCUAAGGACUAACACUUUGAAGACACGCAGAUGGGAUUUGGCAGAUGUUUAAUAAAUAGAGGAGUAAAUCUAGAUCCUUUAAGCAAGUGGUCAAAGGUUGGACUUGUUGUAUAUGAUUCUCAAGUGCCAAUUGGUGCCACUCCGGAGUAUAUGGCUGGUUUCUACAUGGUGCAUAGU